AUUGAACGCUGGCGGCAGGCCUAACACAUGCAAGUCGAACGAGUGGCGGACGGGUGAGUAAUGUCUGGGAAACUGCCUGAUGGAGGGGGAUAACUACUGGAAACGGUAGCUAAUACCGCAUACCAUCAGAUGUGCCCAGAUGGGAUUAGCUUGUUGGUGGGGUAACGGCUCACCAAGGCGACGAUCCCUAGCUGGUCUGAGAGGAUGACAAGCCAAAUGGGAACGGAGAAACGGCCAAGACUCCUACGGGAGGAAGCAGUGGGAAAGAUUGCACAAUGGGCGCAAGCUGGAUGCAGCCAUGCCGGGUGUAGGAAGAAGGCUUGCGGGUUGUAAAGUACUUUCAGCGGGGAGGCGUUACCCGCAGAAGAAGCACCGGCUAACUCCGGGCCAGCAGCCGCGGUAAUAC
rnacentral:rRNA from 1 species